rnacentral:rRNA from 1 species
GGGACCUUCGGGCCUUGCGCUAUCAGAUGAGCCUAGGUCGGAUUAGCUAGUUGGUGGGGUAAUGGCUCACCAAGGCGACGAUCCGUAACUGGUCUGAGAGGAUGAUCAGUCACACUGGAACUGAGACACGGUCCAGACUCCUACGGGAGGCAGCAGUGGGGAAUAUUGGACAAUGGGCGAAAGCCUGAUCCAGCCAUGCCGCGUGUGUGAAGAAGGUCUUCGGAUUGUAAAGCACUUUAAGUUGGGAGGAAGGGCAUUAACCUAAUACGUUAGUGUUUUGACGUUACCGACAGAAUAAGCACCGGCUAACUCUGUGCCAGCAGCCGCGGUAAUACAGAGGGUGCAAGCGUUAAUCGGAAUUACUGGGCGU